AGGACGAACGCUGGCGGCGUGCUUAACACAUGCAAGUCGAGCGGUAAGGCCUUUCGGGGUACACGAGCGGCGAACGGGUGAGUAACACGUGGGUGAUCUGCCCUGCACUCUGGGAUAAGCCUGGGAAACUGGGUCUAAUACCGGAUAUGACCUGCUCUCGCAUGGGGGUGGGUGGAAAGAUUUAUCGGUGCAGGAUGGGCCCGCGGCCUAUCAGCUUGUUGGUGGGGUAAUGGCCUACCAAGGCGACGACGGGUAGCCGACCUGAGAGGGUGACCGGCCACACUGGGACUGAGACACGGCCCAGACUCCUACGGGAGGCAGCAGUGGGGAAUAUUGCACAAUGGGCGAAAGCCUGAUGCAGCGACGCCGCGUGAGGAUGAAGGCCUUCGGGUUGUAAACCUCUUUCAGCGAGGACGAAGCGCAAGUGACGGUACCUGCAAGAAGAAGACACCGGCUAACUACGUGCCAGCAGCCGC
rnacentral:rRNA from 1 species